GGAGGAGCCCAGACAAGUCUUUUCUCACCUGGGACCUUGGUUCCCUGGAAUAAACCACAGGGCCUGGAGUCAGAAUUUUUGCCUGCCACAUCUAAUACAUGAAAUGCACAGCCUCAGCCCAGACACCAAAAUUAAUAUGUAUUCUUUCCAUUAAUCUUCAUAGCUGGUGAGUGGAAGGGGCUCGUUUCCUUCACAUUUGAAUGAUACUGGAGAAGUUAAUUAUUUCUGAGAACUUGACUAUAAAGUAGAAUAUCAUGGGAAGAAAAGUACACUAGAAAUGAUAACUAUUUAGGGGAAAGCAUGAAUAGCAAGACAUAAUGAAAAGAUGCUUUACAGCAGAGGACAGAGUUGAAAUUCCACAGAUAACUUUAAUUCCAGUGUUUCCUUAGCUGUUUGCUAUUGAGAUGUCAAAGUCAUGUUAUAUGCUUGUAAUGUUGCUUUUCCUUUACUGUCUGAUUUUGUUGUCAGGUCUGUCAUUGUCCAUAAGUACUGACUGCCAGCUUCUGCUUCAAAAUGUGGAACAACAAUGAGCAUAGAUAGCAAUGAAAGCUGGGAUCUGGUGUUGGGAUGGGUUAUUCAGAGAUGAAAAAUCUGUGGCACAAGGUUUCCAGAAAGGCAGGCAAGACUGGACCAUGUCUUCCGGAAGGCUGAUUUGGACUGAAGAAAAGAGAUUAUUAUUUCAGAAGAAGAAGUGAUCCUAGGAAAUUCUCCUUUUCUAUGUUGCAUUUUCUUCUAACUUUUUUUCUCAAGGAUACUGAGAAAGAUAGACAUGAAAGAUGCACAUCUGUAUAAUAUCACUGGAUUUAAAUUCACUUCAUAGGAGUUUUCAUUUCUACUAGAAAAUGUCCAGACUCCUGCAAACUAAAAAAACUUUUAGAACUCUGACUAGCAAUUUUGGAAAAGGUCUUUUGGUGCAUCAACAGGUUUGUGCUGACAAAAAGAAGCAUUACAGCCCUCAGCAUGUUUGCCUGAAGUUCUUUGUAGUGUAUUGAAUGAAUGCUUACAGCUCUGCCACAGGCACCCACUCUAUUUGCUAAGACAGGCAGUGGGGAUGCUAAGGACAAGCAUGUAACCCAGACUUGUGGGGACCGGGUUAAUGGCAAGAGCUUGUUAACACUGGAAUGCUGACAGCACAGUAAAUGUUUGGUACUAAAGGCUUGGUUUUAUAACAAAGGGAAAACCUGGACUUUCACUGUCGUUGAAGUCAUGUGAAGGGGAAUUCCUCACUGCGUGGCUGCAGGGAGGUUUGUGUGUCCCACUCAAUGACUGGACAUAAAACUCCUGUCUGGGAGAGUGUCCUCCAACAAGCCCUGCUACCUCCAGCAGCUUCCCAUGCAGCAACAAUACUCUCAGCUCCUUGCUGCUGUGCUGGGAAGUGCAUAAGCACUGGGGCUGGAUGGGAUACAUUUUUUCUUGUGGGAGAUAGGUCUUAUAUAUGCAGUAGUGGCAGUAAUUAUUAAGCAAUUUUUACCCUAAACCAUCACCAUCAAAGCAACCUCUAUAACUAUUAUUUCCCAAGAGAUCUCUGGACCUGGGAAGGUUUCAGCCAUUGAUUUGCAUGCCACUGGGGAGAGGACAUUUAUUUACCAUGCUGAAUUUACCCCAUCCCUCAGCCUUUGGGCAACAAAAUGUGCUUCUCUUUAUCCAGUAUAUGAACUAUAGAAGGCAACAGGUUGUUUGUUUGGGUUUUUUCCUCACUGCCCUCAUGCUUCUAGAAUCAGUAAAAUUUUUUCAAAGCAUCAGAAGCUCAGAAAUUCAGGAAACUAUUUACACCACUGUCUGGAGUGUGGGUUCAGCUUGAGUGAAUAUUCAAAUGCUUCUCCAAAGCUUAUCUGGCCUAGCCAAAACCUCCUGAAUUUACAAAAUUGGGCUGGGCAUUUUAUGAGAACAGGAUGUCUUACAAGAUUUUCAGAAUUUCCUCUGCUAAGAGAAUAUACCGUGAGAUCAGCUUGGAAACCAGAAUAAUUUAUUUUGAUUCAAAGUGGGCCGUAAUGUUUCCAGAUCCUAAAAAGAUUCAAAGUGAAUUGGCUUGUAGAAAUCAAUUGAGAGUGGAGGAGAAUGACUUCUUUUAUUUUGCCUUCCUUAAGCCAGUUUGCUCUUCUCCAAAGGCAUCCAAAAUAACUCCACUCUUGGCAGACGUGUUUCCCAUUUCAAACCCAGCCCUCCCCUUGCUCCAACACUGCCUUGCUGUUGGAGCACCUUGUCUAGAAACAAAUUAUUAACUUUAAAUUCUAAGCCAGCAAUUAAUUCUCUCAAAGGUCAGACAGAUCAAAUGACUUCCACAUCAGCUCAAAGCUCCUCCAUCAAAAAUGAGAUGAAAGUGCUGGUGUUCCUGAUGUUCAUUCCAGUCUGGCAUCCCAGGUUUCAAAGGCUGCCCUUUAGUUUGGAGGCUGAGGAUGGGCAGCUGGAUAUCAGGAGGGGUUUUGCUGUGAUCUCUCUGCUCUUUGAGCCCAUAUGUCAGAUCUUUACCACUUGUGCUCUUUAGGGUGACCUUUUUUUUUGUUCUGUCCACUGAGCUGUGUUUAUCUGGAGUAAAAAUGCCACCUCCUGAAAAGCCCAGGUGAAUCUGUGCUGAGACGUGGCUGGCAUGGUUCAGCUGAAGGGGAGGCACAGCAGCCACCUUGCAGCACCCAUUACACCUGCACCUGGCACACACCACCCAGGCUCCUGGGGAAUGUUUCAACACAAAAGGGUGCUUGCAGCUCUUACAGACUUUUCCCAGAAUAGUCUGUUUUCCUGAUGUUGCCUGUAAGAAGGAACGCAGACACUCUGGUGGCUGCAAACACACGAAAUGUAGAUGCCAAAUAUGGUGGAGCUCAACCUUGCUGUGACUCCCUGGAUAGGACCAGGAAAUCUGCAGGGUCUCUCACACCUGCUCUGACUUUCUGUUUUCAGACUGCUUUCAUUAUUUGCUGAGUAGCUGACCUCGAUGAUCAAGCUGUCCCUUUAAUGGCCCAGAAGACUAAUUGCCUGCUUUGUGCACAGACUGUCCCAUUACCUGAUCCUGCCAGGGGGAUAACAAAGGUGACCAGAAUGGGUCAUUCUUUCCCUGCAGUGCCAGUUGAGAAAAACAUGGGUGUAUGUGCCUCUCCUGGGAGGCAGUAGCAGCAGUGUUAGAGCUUUUUUCACACUCCAAGGAAAGCCAAAGCCAACUUCAAAGAAUAAAACACAGUGGCUGUGGCCAUCUCAGGUAACAGAGAGAUCUGGCCGAGCCUGGACUGCAUCCACACAUCUCAGCUAGAGAGGGUGCAGCCCUGCCAUGAUGAGAAGAAAUAGUCACUGAUCCCACAGAAUAAAUGUUGAAAAGCCACUUUAAUAUCCUGCUCUGAACUACAGCUUUUUAUUUUAAAAACUUUCUCAAUGUCAGAACUUUGAGAAGUUAAAGAAUUUGAGAGGGAAAGUCCCACAGCUGCAAACAGAUGAGAGAGUGAGUUCACUGUCCACUGAAAUGGGAACAGUAGAGAAUAACUGUACAGCAGCAGUGUAGGUGAUCUGCAGUGCUUCUUCCAGUGAUUUAAUUGGUGCAGCGUGGCUUCCUAACAGUGGUGUGUUGAAACCCAAAGAUGGUACAAGAUCAAGCCCUUGGGAAAGCAUUUUGGAGGGGAUGGUGUUUGGCCUGGUGAUUUAAGGUGAACAAGUUGCCAUGGAUUUAAUUUUACUCUGAUAUAAAUAAGUCUUCCUUUCAGGGCAUCAGAGCUAGCCAGCUAAAUAUAUAUAUAUGUAAAUAUCUGUAUUUCUAUCAAUAUAUAAACUCUUCUGACAAGAAACUACUUAAAAUGAAAAGGGAAGCUUCUUUUAGCCAAUAGACCAAUCAUUUCUCACAGUGCAAAUCUGAGAUCAAUGAGACUGAUUUAUUGGAUUUAUAAGCUAGAACAGUGGCAUCACUGACAUAUUUCCACUUACUGAAAAUAGGUGUUAAGUUACUUAACUGGAAAUUAAAUAAAGAUUGAAUGAUCAAUGCAGCAAUUUACUAAAGUAGUGUAGUGGAUACUAAUGCAAAUCAAAAUUUUCUUUAAAAAUAUCCCUAACUCAAGAACACAUACUCAAAAAGUAGUUAACACAGGGAAUUCUAAACAGAUCAAAUUAAUCAUGUCUAAAAGACUUUCUGGUCUUAGAAUUUUGCAACAAAUAUGCAGCAGCAAUGAGGCAGUUCUUGGGUUUAAGUGGCCUAGUUAGUUCCUAAUGCUUGAAGCUGAAGUAACAUCUUUGAAGCUGUGGUUUAGGUGUUAAGAAGUCAUGUAGGUGGAAAGGGAGGGUUUAUUCAAAUUCCUUUCUUCUGUCACACCCUGGUAUGGCCCAGGCUGUUGGAGAGGUACAACAUUCCCUGUACGUGGUCGUGUCACCACUCAGCAAAUACUUGCUGACCACAGCAGAGCCUUGGGUCAGAUAGGGCUGAGCACAGGAGGGAUCUGCAUUCUUUCCCUUCUGAAAGGUGAGAUAUGAGUCCUUUGAACAGCUGCGUGUAUCCUGCAGUCAUCCCCUUAAAAUGCAAAGAACUGCCUCCCUCCAAUGCAGUCCAGGCAGGGGAAAGGCAAAGCUUCAGCAAGAAAAGGCCACUCAAAAUACAGGUCUUGAUAAAAAAGCAUUUCCUGUUGUCUUCCUCUCCAUGAGUCCCUGAAGAUAGCUUUCAGCAAAACACAUCUCCCUUCUAUGACCUGAGACUGCACAGGGCACCCCAGCAGCAAGUGCAGCUGAGGGCACGGGGGAACUAUUGCAGGGCAGCUCAUAAGGAGAUUUCUCCUCAAGCAAACUGUUUUUCUCCUUAUUUAUAAUUGUAGUGGAAUUUUAAAAAAAUCUAAAAUUGCCAAAAAAAAAAUCAGAAAAAAUACAGAGGGCAAGGGAUCAAAUAAUCUGGACCUGUGUCACCCUCACUGCCAGAUGUCUGUCCUGUGUCCUCCUCUCCUGCACAGAGCAUGGUUCAUGUUUCUGCUUCUCCUUGUCAGAAAACCUUGGCAACAAGCUCCUUGACUGGUUGAAGGAUCCAGGUAAAUUUUUAGGAAAUGGCAUCUUUCGUGUCCUCAGAUAGUACACAAACCUCACAGCUCUUGUGGCAAUGUUUAACUGGGACCUUUUCACUGUGAGCGGAUUAUUAACAUGGAUUUCACACCCCUGAAAGAAUGUUCGAAGCCUACAAAGAAAGACAUUGUCUGCUUUGUUUAACAAAUGACACUGUUUCCCUUCUGCCUAGCAACCUGGUUAGAGGAUUUGUAACAGGGAGCAAGGAGGGUGAGCAGGACAGAGCAACUCAAAUUAGCAAAUAAAUCUCAUCCCUUCAUUGCACUUUAGGCAGGAACUUGUAAUAAGUUUAAAAAGCAUGUCUCUCUUAAUCCAAUAACUGUAAAAUAACUCCAGAAACUCAGAUGCUUACCAAUCCAUUAGAACUGUAAGAAAAUACAUCUUCCAACACCAUUUCAAAAUAUAUUUUUUGAAAGACUGAUUGCUUUGCAUAUAUUUCCGUGCAGACAGUAAGAUCAUCACAUUAUCAUGCCCUUAAUUUCUACAAGUGAGAACUGAUAAUAUAGCAAUGUCACUGUAAACAUUAACAGAUGCAUCAUUCUCUGGCAUUUCUCACUUGUCUUCAAAGUCAUCAUUCUCUUAUCUUUUCUGACAUGCUGAAACUGAAAGUAUAUAUGCCUUUUAAAACUUCCUUAUUUUAUGCCUAGAAGUGAUCAGGCUUGUUCACAGCCAAGCUGUAUGAGUCAGGCUGAGCCAUUCACACAGCGGGUGCAGUGGACGAAGGAAGGAGUCUGGCCAAGGACUGAAACUGCCAGCUCGACCAGCUGCUGAUGUGCAGAUGUUGUGGCUGCAGUAGACCUGGAGAGAAGGAGGGACACUGCUGCAAUAUACCUAGAUUUUUUUGUCAAUCCAGAAUGACACGACAACUUGGUAAUGUACUGGGGAGACCACAAGGUAUGUCAGGAAAUGUCAGGAGCCAGAUGCUCUGCAGGGGACAGCAAGCCAGAGCCAAGGGUGACUGCAAGGCCAUGAGGGUCACAGGAAAAGCACCAUUGCUUGAGUCCAUGGAUGCUCAGGGUGAGCCACAGCCCUUUUCACCAGGAUUUGUAGUGAUAAGGCAAGGAGAAUGGCUUUAAACUGAAAUAGAGUCGGCUUAGAUUAGAACUUUGGAAGAAGUCCUUUACUCUGAGAGGCACUGGUAGAGGUUGCCCAGAGAAGCUGUGGAUGUUCCAUCCCAGUGAACAUCAGUGUUCAAGGCCAAGUUGGAUGGAUCUCUGAGCAGCCUGGUCUAGUGGAAAUUGUCCCUGCCCAUGGCAGAGGGAUUGGAACAAGAUGAUCUUUAAGGUCCCCUCCCAACCCAAACCAUUCUAUGACUUUAUGAUUGUCAGACAGGUCCACAGUGAUGAAGCAGAGCAGAGACCAAGCUACGAAGGCAAGUCAGUGGUUUAGGGUGACAAUGAGCAAGGUGCAAGGCUGGACACUGACAUUUCCACAACACAGCACAGAAUGGCACAAAUGGCCUGUGCUUUACUGGAGCUGAUGGACAAAGCAGAGGAGACCUCAGCCAGGAUUCCCACUGCUCUUUCACAAUUACUGUUUUCUCAGUAUCCUGGGAAAGUGCCCAUUUGUAUCACACUCGGAGUGAUUCAGAUUCCCUGCAUAGAAGAACCUCAGUGACAGGCUCGGCCGAAACUCAUCUUCCUUUAUCCAUAACCCAAACACCAUUCCCUUAAAAUCCUGCGGCUAUGUAGGAUCAGUCUUGGUCUUAAUGUUGUUUCCAAUUCUACUGCAAAAAGAAGACAAUAAAAAAUAAUUUGCAAAGUCCCUUUCCCUUCAAGAAUUACAGAUAAAAGUUUAAAUAUCUUAUUUUGUCAAAUAAUUGCAAAACUGGACAAGCAAUUUGACUACUGCUCUAAGUGAUACAGUAUUGUAAAAAUGUCCUCUGAGGGUGCAUGUAGUAGUAUUCUUCAUAAAAGCAAUCCUUAGAUAUGUAAAAACUUAUCCCUUGUACAGACAAGUGUUCUGGUUUGUUGCAUAAGUUAUCAGGUCAGAUGAGAAUAUUUUUGCAGAUACAUUUUUUAUGCUGUUACAUUAUCUCCCGUACAUGACAGGUAAGUUCUAAACAGGCAUGGUCCUGUGAAUGAUCUCAGAGUCCCUUUUGCUGUCUUAUAUUGCUCUGCCUGAAAAGGCAGGUAUCUGUGCCCAAAUAAACAAACUUCAUUCGGGACAAGCUAAACAAAACCCGAAAAAAUUCAAAGUCUGUCUACAAGUGGCCCAGCACAGCAUGGCCCAGCUGGAGCUGUCUGCACCCAGUUGGCCAGAAGACAUCAGAAGUUAUCUGCAAAACAGCUGGGAAAAAGCAAUAGCACAAGCAGACUCUUACAGCCACACACAGGCAAGGGAAAAAAAUUAGGGGAAAUAUAAGUAUUAAAUGAAUAUUCAAAGCUUGGCCCAACUUCCAUUUAAUUGUAAGUGAAAGUCCUUAUUGCAGUACAGCAGAAGAUGUCCUUGAAUUUUAUUUUCCCCAAACCUAGGAUGGCUCUGUGAGCUUUUGAACACUACAAUAAAACUUAAACCCAAAAAUA